ACUUAAUUUAAAGUCUAACCUGCUCAAUGAAAUAUUUUAAAUAGCCGCAGUAUUUUGACUGUGCGAAGGUAGCAUAAUCAUUAGUUUUUUAAUUGAAAGCUAGAAUGAAGGGUUUGAUGAAAAAAUAACUGUCUCAAUAUUAAUGAAUUAGAAAUUUAUUUUUAAGUUAAAAAGCUUAAAUUUUUUAAGAAGACGAGAAGACCCUAUAGAGUUUUAUAUAAAUUUAUAUUUGAAAUUUUUAGAAUUUAAUAUUUUAAUUAAAAUUUUAUAUUUAAUUGGGGUGAUUAAAAAAUUUAAAUAACUUUUUUUUAGAAAAACCAUAGAUUUAUGAAAAAAUGAGCCUAAAUUUUAGAUUAUAAGAAAAAAUUACCUUAGGGAUAACAGCGUAAUUUUUUUUGAGAGUUCAAAUCGAAAAAAAAGAUUGCGACCUCGAUGUUGGAUUAAAGAAAAUUUUUAAUGCAGAAGUUAAAAUUUUAGGUCUGUUCGACCUUUAAAUCUUUACAUGAUCUGAGUUUAAACCGGUGUAAGCCAGGUUGGAUUCUAUCUUUUAAUAAAUUAAAUAUUUUAGUACGAAAGGACCAAAUAUUGAAAUUAAAUUUUAUUUUUGAAUAAAUUUAUUAUUUUGGCAGAUUAGUGCAAUAGAUUUAGAAUCUUUAAAUAUAGAAUUUCUAUAAAUAAUAUUGUAUUUUAAAGAUUUAAUUUUAAUUUAUAUAUCAAUGUUAAUUUUAGUAAUUUGUGUAUUAAUUGGAAUUGCAUUUUUAACUUUAUUAGAACGUAAAGUUUU
rnacentral:rRNA from 1 species